rnacentral:rRNA from 1 species
CGUGUAGGCUGCUCGGAAAGUCGGAUGUGAAAGCCCUGGGCUCAACCUAGGAAGUGCACUCGAAACUUCCGAGCUGGAGUGCUGGAGAGGAAGGCGGAAUUCUCGGUGUAGAGGUGAAAUUCGUAGAUAUCGAGAGGAACACCGGUGGCGAAGGCGGCCUUCUGGACAGUUACCGACGCUGAGACGCGAAAGCGUGGGGAGCAAACA